rnacentral:rRNA from 1 species
CCUACGGGCGGCAGCAGUCGAGAAUCAUUCACAAUGGGGGAAACCCUGAUGGUGCGACGCCGCGUGGGGGAAUGAAGGUCUUCGGAUUGUAAACUCCUGUCAUGUGGGAGCAAAUUAAAAAGAUAGUACCACAAGAGGAAGAGACGGCGAACACUGUGCCAGCAGCCGCGGUAAUACAGAGGUCUCAAGCGUUGUUCGGAAGCACUGGGCGUAAAGCGUGCGUAGGCUGUUUCGUAAGACGUGUGUGAAAGGCGCGUGCUCAAGCCGCGGACGGCACAUGAUACUGCGAGACUAGAGUAAUGGAGGGGAUACCGGAAUUCUCGGUGAAGCAGUGAAAGGCGUAGAUAUCGAGAGGAACACUCGUGGCGAAGGCGGGUUCCUGGACAUUAACUGACGCUGAGGCACGAAGGCCAGGGGAGCGAAAGGGAUUAGAUACCCCAGUAGUC